rnacentral:rRNA from 1 species
UUAAGCGACUAAGCGUACACGGUGGAUGCCCUGGCAGUCAGAGGCGAUGAAGGACGUGCUAAUCUGCGAAAAGCGUCGGUAAGGUGAUAUGAACCGUUAUAGCCGGCGAUGUCCGAAUGGGGAAACCCAGUGUGAUUCGUCACACUAUCGUUAACUGAAUACAUAGGUUAACGAGGCGAACCGGGGGAACUGAAACAUCUAAGUACCCCGAGGAAAAGAAAUCAACCGAGAUUCCCCCAGUAGCGGCGAGCGAACGGGGAGCAGCCCAGAGUCUGAAUCAGCUUGUGUGUUAGUGGAACGGUCUGGAAAGUCCGACGGUACAGGGUGAUAGUCCCGUACACCAAAAUGCACAGGCUGUGAACUCGAAGAGUAGGGCGGGACACGUGGUAUCCUGUCUGAAUAUGGGGGGACCAUCCUCCAAGGCUAAAUACUCCUGACUGACCGAUAGUGAACCAGUACCGUGAGGGAAAGGCGAAAAGAACCCCGGCGAGGGGAGUGAAAAAGAACCUGAAACCGUGUACGUACAAGCAGUGGGAGCACCUUCGGGUGUGACUGCGUACCUUUUGUAUAAUGGGUCAGCGACUUAUAUUCUGUAGCAAGGUUAACCGUAUAGGGGAGCCGCAGGGAAACCGAGUCUUAACUGGGCGUUAAGUUGCAGGGUAUAGACCCGAAACCCGGUGAUCUAGCCAUGGGCAGGUUGAAGGUUGGGUAACACUAACUGGAGGACCGAACCGACUAAUGUUGAAAAAUUAGCGGAUGACUUGUGGCUGGGGGUGAAAGGCCAAUCAAACCGGGAGAUAGCUGGUUCUCCCCGAAAGCUAUUUAGGUAGCGCCUCGUGAACUCAUCUUCGGGGGUAGAGCACUGUUUCGGCUAGGGGGUCAUCCCGACUUACCAACCCGAUGCAAACUACGAAUACCGAAGAAUGUUAUCACGGGAGACACACGGCGGGUGCUAACGUCCGUCGUGAAGAGGGAAACAACCCAGACCGCCAGCUAAGGUCCCAAAGUCAUGGUUAAGUGGGAAACGAUGUGGGAAGGCACAGACAGCCAGGAUGUUGGCUUAGAAGCAGCCAUCAUUUAAAGAAAGCGUAAUAGCUCACUGGUCGAGUCGGCCUGCGCGGAAGAUGUAACGGGGCUAAACCAUGCACCGAAGCUGCGGCAGCGACACUAUGUGUUGUUGGGUAGGGGAGCGUUCUGUAAGCCUGCGAAGGUGUGCUGUGAGGCAUGCUGGAGGUAUCAGAAGUGCGAAUGCUGACAUAAGUAACGAUAAAGCGGGUGAAAAGCCCGCUCGCCGGAAGACCAAGGGUUCCUGUCCAACGUUAAUCGGGGCAGGGUGAGUCGACCCCUAAGGCGAGGCCGAAAGGCGUAGUCGAUGGGAAACAGGUUAAUAUUCCUGUACUUGGUGUUACUGCGAAGGGGGGACGGAGAAGGCUAUGUUAGCCGGGCGACGGUUGUCCCGGUUUAAGCAUGUAGGCUGAUUGUCCAGGCAAAUCCGGAUAAUCAAGGCUGAGGUGUGAUGACGAGGCACUACGGUGCUGAAGUAACAAAUGCCCUGCUUCCAGGAAAAGCCUCUAAGCAUCAGGUAACAUCAAAUCGUACCCCAAACCGACACAGGUGGUCAGGUAGAGAAUACCAAGGCGCUUGAGAGAACUCGGGUGAAGGAACUAGGCAAAAUGGUGCCGUAACUUCGGGAGAAGGCACGCUGGUGUGUAGGUGAAGCCCCUGCGGGUGGAGCUGAGACCAGUCGAAGAUACCAGCUGGCUGCAACUGUUUAUUAAAAACACAGCACUGUGCAAACACGAAAGUGGACGUAUACGGUGUGACGCCUGCCCGGUGCCGGAAGGUUAAUUGAUGGGGUUAUCCGUAAGGAGAAGCUCUUGAUCGAAGCCCCGGUAAACGGCGGCCGUAACUAUAACGGUCCUAAGGUAGCGAAAUUCCUUGUCGGGUAAGUUCCGACCUGCACGAAUGGCGUAAUGAUGGCCAGGCUGUCUCCACCCGAGACUCAGUGAAAUUGAACUCGCUGUGAAGAUGCAGUGUACCCGCGGCAAGACGGAAAGACCCCGUGAACCUUUACUAUAGCUUGACACUGAACAUUGAGCCUUGAUGUGUAGGAUAGGUGGGAGGCUUUGAAGCGUGGACGCCAGUCUGCGUGGAGCCAACCUUGAAAUACCACCCUUUAAUGUUUGAUGUUCUAACGUUGGCCCCUUACCGGGGUUGCGGACAGUGUCUGGUGGGUAGUUUGACUGGGGCGGUCUCCUCCCAAAGCGUAACGGAGGAGCACGAAGGUUAGCUAAUCCUGGUCGGACAUCAGGAGGUUAGUGCAAUGGCAUAAGCUAGCUUGACUGCGAGCGUGACGGCGCGAGCAGGUGCGAAAGCAGGUCAUAGUGAUCCGGUGGUUCUGAAUGGAAGGGCCAUCGCUCAACGGAUAAAAGGUACUCCGGGGAUAACAGGCUGAUACCGCCCAAGAGUUCAUAUCGACGGCGGUGUUUGGCACCUCGAUGUCGGCUCAUCACAUCCUGGGGCUGAAGUAGGUCCCAAGGGUAUGGCUGUUCGCCAUUUAAAGUGGUACGCGAGCUGGGUUUAGAACGUCGUGAGACAGUUCGGUCCCUAUCUGCCGUGGGCGCUGGAGAAUUGAGGGGGGCUGCUCCUAGUACGAGAGGACCGGAGUGGACGCAUCACUGGUGUUCGGGUUGUCAUGCCAAUGGCACUGCCCGGUAGCUAAAUGCGGAAGAGAUAAGUGCUGAAAGCAUCUAAGCACGAAACUUGCCCCGAGAUGAGUUCUCCCUGAGACUUUAAGUCUCCUGAAGGAACGUUAAAGACGAUGACGUUGAUAGGCCGGGUGUGUAAGCGCAGCGAUGCGUUGAGCUAACCGGUACUAAUGAACCGUGAGGCUUAACCUU